GUUGUAAGCUGUUUGUAAAUGGAUUCUCUUUUUAUCCAAAAAUUCAAGUGUUGCCACUGUAAUCUCAUGAAGUGAGUGUAGUUAAUGGUGUCUGCUCUGCUGUUUUGAUAACGACAAUGUUGCCACAUGCUAAUGCUGGUCCGACCUCCCAAGCAAACAUGAGAAUAUAAUCUGACCAGCAACACCUGUUGGUUCGCUGCCCAUCAGCUGGAACUACAA
rnacentral:misc_RNA from 1 species